ACAAUAAGAAACAAAAAUCCAAAUAUAAAUCAAGUCUCGAAACAAAUUAUUUGUCUCUUCCCAAAGCCGAUCGUUUUGGAGGUGAUGACAAUUGUUCCUCAGUUUGGUUGAGUUGUUUUGUCUUGCAAUAGCGUAAUGUCUGGGCCGCCCACACCUAUGGAAAUGAUAAAUUCCUCUUGGGGAAUUCUCUCUUUUAUGCCCCAAUUAGCCACAUUUCAUGCAACUGCCUGAGGUUAUCUAACAAACUUCGCGGUGUAGUUUUCCACAAGUAUCACACACAUGAGCUUUC
rnacentral:sRNA from 1 species